rnacentral:rRNA from 1 species
GAUGAACGCUGGCGGCGUGCUUAACACAUGCAAGUCGAACGGGAUCGGCUGGAGCUUGCUCCGGCCGUGAGAGUGGCGAACGGGUGAGUAAUGCGUGACCGACCUGCCCCAUACACCGGAAUAGCUCCUGGAAACGGGUGGUAAUGCCGGAUGCUCCAGUUGGAUGCAUGUCCUUCUGGGAAAGAUUCAUCGGUAUGGGAUGGGGUCGCGUCCUAUCAGGUAGUCGGCGGGGUAACGGCCCACCGAGCCUACGACGGGUAGCCGGCCUGAGAGGGCGACCGGCCACAUUGGGACUGAGAUACGGCCCAGACUCCUACGGGAGGCAGCAGUGGGGAAUAUUGCACAAUGGGCGCAAGCCUGAUGCAGCGACGCCGCGUGCGGGAUGACGGCCUUCGGGUUGUAAACCGCUUUUGACUGGGAGCAAGCCCUUCGGG